GUGGACGGUCGGGAAGGGGGGGCGGGGGGUGCUGCGGGAAAGGCGGGGGACCCGGGACUUCCAAGUGUGAACAUUUUCAGUAGAGCCUCUUAAGACACAUGUUUUGGAAUGCAGUCAAAUGCGUGCUGCUGUAUGACCAGCCUAUUCGAUUAUGCCUCCAAAUCCUAUGGAAGUGUAACAACCAUAGAGCAGACAAACACCAACAGCAUCAACAACAGAGAAUCUCAGUCCAGGAGGAUAUGAAACCCUUUGUAAUAAAGAAAGCAACAGCCAUGAA